rnacentral:rRNA from 1 species
GGUGCUGCAUGGCUGUCGGUCAGCUCGUGUCGUGAGAUGUUGGUUAAGUCCCGCAACGAGCGCAACCCUUGUCAUUAGUUGCUACAUUCAGUUGGGCACUCUAAUGAGACUGCCGGUGACAAGCCGGAGGAAGUGGGAUGACGUCAAGUCCUCAUGGCCCUUAUAGGUGGGGCUACACACGUCAUACAAUGGCUGGUACAAAGGGUUGCCAACCCGCGAGGGGGAGCUAAUCCCAUAAAGCCAGUCGUAGUCCGGAUCGUAGUCUGCAACUCGACUACGUGAAGUCGGAAUCGCUAGUAAUCGUGGAUCAGAAUGUCACGGUGAAUACGUUCCCGGGUCUU